rnacentral:rRNA from 1 species
UGCCAGCCGCCGCGGUAAUACGGAGGGGGUUAGCGUUGUUCGGAAUUACUGGGCGUAAAGCGCACGUAGGCGGACUGUUAAGUUAGAGGUGAAAUCCCGGGGCUCAACCCUGGAACUGCCUUCGAUACUGGUAGUCUUGAGGUCGAGAGAGGUGAGUGGAAUUCCGAGUGUAGAGGUGAAAUUCGUAGAUAUUGGGAAGAACACCAGUGGCGAAGGCGGCUACCUGGUCCGGAUCUGACGCUGAGGCGCGAAAGCGUGGGGAGCAAACAGGAUUAGAUA